rnacentral:rRNA from 1 species
UCGGGAAUUUUGGGCAAUGGGCGAAAGCCUGACCCAGCAACGCCGCGUGAGGGAUGAAGUAUUUCGGUAUGUAAACCUCGAAAGAAUGGGAAGAAUAAAUGACGGUACCAUUUAUAAGCUCCGGCUAACUACGUGCCAGCAGCCGCGGUAAUACGUAGGGAGCAAGCGUUGUUCGGAUUUACUGGGCGUAAAGGGCGCGUAGGCGGCGCGGUAAGUCACUUGUGAAAUCUCUGGGCUUAACUGGGAGGGUGCGCCGAAGACUGGGAAGCUGGAGUGUGGGAAAGGCAGGCGGAAUUCCUGGUGUAGCGGUGAAAUGCGUAGAUAUCAGGAGGAACACCGGCGGUGUAGACGGCUUGCUAGACCAUAACUGACGCUGAGGCACGAAAGCGUGGGUAGCAAACA